UCUGUCUUCUGGAAAGUGCAGAAUUGCAUGAUGUCUAGCUCCAUGAAAAAUUUGGAUCCUGCUUUUCAAGGAGCUGGCCAUAAAAUAGGGAUGGAAAUAUGGCGGAUAGAAAACUUUCAGCCAUUUCCUUUGCCAAAAUCUGAUUAUGGUAAAUUUUAUAAUGGGGAUUCCUACAUCGUUUUACAGACCUCUAGUGGCAAAGGUGGCUCUUACUUGUAUGACAUUCAUUUUUGGAUUGGCAAGGA